GCCCUUCGACAGCCAGCAGCGCCUACUCCUAACCGGAGGCAGCAGUGGGGAAUAUUGCACAAUGGGCGGAAGCCUGAUGCAGCAACGCCGCGUGAGGGAUGACGGCCUUCGGGUUGUAAACCUCUUUUAGCAGGGAAGAAGCGAAAGUGACGGUACCUGCAGAAAAAGCACCGGCUAACUACGUGCCAGCAGCCGCGGUAAUACGUAGGGUGCAAGCGUUAUCCGGAAUUAUUGGGCGUAAAGAGCUCGUAGGCGGUCUGUCGCGUCUGCUGUGAAAUUCCGAGGCUCAACCUCGGGCUUGCAGUGGGUACGGGCAGACUAGAGUGCGGUAGGGGAGAUUGGAAUUCCUGGUGUAGCGGUGGAAUGCGCAGAUAUCAGGAGGAACACCGAUGGCGAAGGCAGAUCUCUGGGCCGUAACUGACGCUGAGGAGCGAAAGGGUGGGGAGCAAACAGGCUUAGAUACCCUGGUAGUCCACCCCGUAAACGUUGGGAACUAGUUGUGGGGUCCUUUCCACGGAUUCCGUGACGCAGCUAACGCAUUAAGUUCCCCGCCUGGGGAGUACGGCCGCAAGGCUAAAACUCAAAGGAAUUGACGGGGACCCGCACAAGCGGCGGAGCAUGCGGAUUAAUUCGAUGCAACGCGAAGAACCUUACCAAGGCUUGACAUACACGAGAACGGGCCAGACAUGGUCAAGC
rnacentral:rRNA from 1 species